UCAAAAAGAAGAGACGGAAUGGAUUCAAAAAGAACAGAUGGAAAGCACAAGGGUUGAUGUGCGUUGCUUGAACGGCUAAAGCCUUCCAAUUUUCUUAUCGAGUGCGUCGACCGAUGGUGCUACCAGCCCGAAUCAAACAGCACCCUUUUCACCGCUUGCCCACUGCAAGUAAUCACUGAGCGUGAAGUGAAUUAUAGCAGAAGUAAUCGCCGCCCCUCUACGCUGCCUCUGCAAAACCGCCUCCUCUUGGCUGGUUUGAACCACGCGAGUAUGGUCCACUUUAGUCAGCCUAUUCAGUUUCAUCCAACAAUGCACGCCUGUUACGAGAGUCUCUUUGCAUCCAUACCUCUACAAGUUACUGUGCAGCCACGGAGUGAAUUUCGUCUAUCGAAGGGUUUCUGGCGAUGGAUGCGGGAAGGCGAUUCCAUUCGGAGGAUGUCAUCGGUACGUAGGGGUGCAAGUACAUGUUGGUCUGGCAGAACGGCACUUGAACUUUGAAGUUUCGGUCGACGUGGAAAGAAAGUCGAAGUGACCGGACACCUUACGCCAAGGCGGCGAGACUCAACUCCAUUUCCCUGGCACGAGACACACUGUCCUCUCGGGAAACUAAGUGAGAGUGAGACCCAAACCUGGCAUUCUCAAGUUUGCCAAGGCUGCGGUCGUCAUCACUGGCAACCGCCAUCGCCAGCAACGAG